UCGUAUACUGAAUGUAUCCUGA
rnacentral:miRNA from 3 species